AAAGCUGGGUGCUCGCUUGAACAUCACACAUUGGAAUGAUACAGAGAAGAUUAGCACAGCCCCUGAGCAAGGAUGACUUGAAAUUUAUAAAGCGUUCGAUAUUUUC